rnacentral:rRNA from 1 species
UACGAAGGUGGCAAGCGUUGUUCGGAUUUACUGGGCGUACAGGGAGCGUAGGCGGUUGGAUAAGCCCUCCGUGAAAUCUCCAGGCUUAACCUGGAAAGUGCAGAGGGGACUGUUCAGCUAGAGGAUGGGAGAGGAGCGCGGAAUUCCCGGUGUAGCGGUGAAAUGCGUAGAGAUCGGGAGGAACACCGGUGGCGAAGGCGGCUUCCUGGACCGACACUGACGCUGAGGCGCGAAAGCUAGGGGAGCAAACGGG